AAGUAGGGUUAUUGGCGUAAACCCUAAUCGCGCCGCCAGGCCCUCUCCGGCUCCACUCUCCCGUCCGUCCGCCACUGUUCCGCCGACGGUGCUGUUUUCCGCUCCUGCUCCCUCGCUCCCAUGGCGAACGACCACCUUUAAAAAAGCGUAUUGUCUACCUUUGAGGUGAUAUCACCGACGCCACCUCUUCAUUGACCAGCUUAGAGGAUCCUUGAUCAGCAACGAGUGUCAAAUGCCGGGUAUUAGUCUAAAUUUUUUGGCCUCAUUAGGGGUAUAUAUAUAUGUAACGCUCCAUAUAUUACUUGAUUUGAUCUAUAUGCUGCCCCGUGUGGUGGUUUUAGAUUCCAUUAAUGCGCUCACGUAGUUUGUGAAGCACUCUCAUGUCCAGAUCUUCGGCCGAGUCGGAGGCGGAUGUUAGGCGUGGUUGCAUUUUCUUCCAUUUCUAUGGAAUAAUCCAUCAAUCACACAUAACAUCCGCCUCCGACUAGGCUGAAGAUCUGGACAUUAGUGUCAAGCUGCUUCACAAACUCCAUGAGCACAUCAAUGGGAUCUAUAGCCACCACACGGACAGCAUAUCGAUCAAAUCAAAUAGUAUAUAGAGCGUGACAUGUAUAUGCCUCUUAAUGAGUCAAAGAAAUUUGGACUAGUACCCGGCAUUGCUGAUCAAGGUUCCUCUAACGACGGAGCUAAAAGCGGGGAUGGUUUUGUUCUUAAUGAUCGUGGAUCGUGGUGCGCCUGUUGGAAGUUUCAGACUAAGAGGUGGUGUCUUGAAACUUAAAGAAAAUAAGUUUGUUAAUGACAAAAGAGGAGCUGGCGUCGGUGAUAUUACCACAAAGAUAGAGAAUAUGCUUCUUUAGGAGGUUGUCGUUCAUCAUGGGACGAGGUUGCAAGAGCGGAAAGCAGCACCAUUAGUGAAUCGGGAUAGUGGUGGACCGGAGAGUGGACUCAGGCGGCUUCGAGAUAUUGAUUAAGUUUUAUGCGCAGAGGCUCCUCUUUUAUUAGGAACAAUGUUAUGAAAUCUAGGGCUUUUAUAUGAUAAAUUUUUUAUAGUUUAUUAUUGAA